GAGUGAAUAGCUUAGUAGGUUAGAGCAUAGUGCUGAUAACGCCAAGGCUGCAGGUUUGAGCCCCGUAUGGGUCA